GACGAACCGAGCGAACGUUGUCCGGAAUUACUGGGCGUAAAGAGCUCGUAGGCGGUUUGUCGCGUCGGCCGUGAAAUCUCCACGCUUAACGUGGAGCGUGCGGUCGAGUACGGGCAGACUUCGAGUUCGGUAGGGGAGACUGGAAUUCCGUGGUGUAGCGGUGAAAUGCGCAGAUAUCAGGAGGAACACCGGUGGCGAAGGCGGUGGUCGUGGGCCGGCACUGACGCUGAGGAGCGAAAGCGUGGGAGCAAACAGG
rnacentral:rRNA from 1 species